rnacentral:rRNA from 1 species
UACGUAGGUGACAAGCGUUGUCCGGAUUUACUGGGCGUAAAGAGCGCGCAGGCGGUCGUUCAAGUCGAGUGUGAAAGCCCCCGGCUCAACUGGGGAGGGCCAUUCGAUACUGAUCGACUCGAAGGCAGGAGAGGGAAGUGGAAUUCCCGGUGUAGUGGUGAAAUGCGUAGAUAUCGGGAGGAACACCGGUGGCGAAGGCGGUUCUCUGGGCCUGUACUGACGCUGAGGAGCGAAAGCGUGGGGAGCGAACAGG